AUGGGGACAGCGGGGGGGCGGCAAGCGUCAGGGGGGCAGCGUCACAGCGGGCAGCGGGGCCCAGAGGCGCAGUCCUCGAUCGAUGGGGGAGCAGGGGGUUCGCUCGGCUUGACACCCAGGCAAGGCGAGUCAGGCGACCAUUGGGAGGGGUUUAGAGGGAGGGCUGCCCAGCCCACAUAUUUCUCACACUCAAACAUGGAUGACCAUGACAAUACUAGCUUCCCACUCUCCGAUUUCAGUCUUGGGGAUAUGGAGUAUAGUCUCUACCCUAGUAGCACCGAUCACACUACCAUGCCCCCACCCGAGCAACAUGCCUAUACCAUGCCCCCACCGAGCAACAUGCCUAUACCGAUCAUCACACUCUUGAACCCCAUACCGAUCCGAGUGCCGAAGCCGAUGCAAAGAGGUCGUCGUAGAACCUCCGUGGUGUGGGAAUCAUUCGAUGAAGAAAUCUCCAUGGUGGACGGUGUCCGGAGGGUGGUUGCAAGGUGCAAAAGGUGCAAGAAGGAGUAUACCGGAGAAGCCAAGGGAGGAACCGGCCACCUGAAGAGGCAUGUGGAAAGCCACGCCAAGGCGGAUGAAAAGAGCGUGUCGGGCUCGGCAGUUGUGCAAACGCAGCUCUCCUUCAACCCUGACGCACAUAGUGGUCCAAACAUUGCUGAAGUUGUACUCAAAGUUGUGAACGAUUUUAAUCUUGCCGACAAGGUUUUCUCAAUAACUUUGGAUAAUGCUUCAGCAAAUACGAGUGCAAUGAAUACUCUCACUCCUAUGUUCUCCAUAUAUGCUGCAUCCUUUUUAAUGCAUCAACGUUGUGCUUGCCAUAUCAUUAAUCUUAUUGCUAAAAUUACUUUGUCUGGGGUUUAUUACCCGACAUCUCCUUUGAUGGUGCAUACCCUAUUAGACAUUGCUUGUUAUCUGAAAGCAUAUGAAGGGGAUGCAUUGUUACUUAAUGUUGUUGCUGACAUGAAAACCAAAGCUAAACUUGAAGGGUAUCGUAGUGCACUCAAUGUACUAUCUGCAUCCCUAAGUUUAGAUUAUACUGAUGACUUCAAUAAGGCUCGUGAGAAGCUUUUUGAAGUUUUUGCUAAGUAUGAGGAAAAAUAUGUCGGAGUUCGAAUGCAACGACCUCCACCAGCACCUACUGCAGGUAAAAAGAGAGGAGCGUGGAGCAAGAUCUUUGGUUCUUCAUCCUCCUCGACCGCUGGAAGCUCUUCCACGUCAACAUAUGUGCUUCAAGGUGGCGGGGAGUUAGCGAAGUACCUCAACAGUGACAAAGUCAUGUACGAUUUAGACAGUGAGGAAGACUUCAACUUACUACAGUGGUGGCAAGAACACAAGCUUACAUUUCCGGUGCUCUCCAUAUUAGCACGUGAUGUGUUAUCGGUGCCUGUUUCUACGGUGUCAUCGGAGUCUGCUUUCAGCCUUGCUGGAAGAAUAAUUGAGGAGAGAAGAACUAGUCUCGCCCCUGAUAUGGUGAGAACACUAAUGUCCGUCAAAGAUGGGGAGUUAUCAAGAAGGAGAGCACAACACACUGCAGAAAACACAGAACUACUUGCCAUGUUUGAAGAAAUGAACUUUGAAGAAGACCCGGAAGAUUAG
rnacentral:rRNA from 1 species